rnacentral:rRNA from 1 species
UACGGGGGGGAGCAAGCGUUGUUCGGAUUUACUGGGCGUAAAGGGCGCGUAGGCGGCCACCGCAAGUCAGUUGUGAAAUCUUAAGGCUUUAACCUUAAGCGGUCAACUGAUACUGUCGUGCUAGAGUGCAGAAGGGGCAAUCGGAAUUCUUUGGUGUAGCGGUGAAAUGCGUAGAUAUCAAGAGGAACACCUGAGGUGAAGACGGGUUGCUGGGCUGACACUGACGCUGAGGCACGAAAGCUAGGGUAGCAAACGGG